UACGUAGGGGGCAAGCGUUGUCCGGAUUUAUUGGGCGUAAAGAGCGUGUAGGCGGCUGGGUAGGUCCGUUGUGAAAACUCGAGGCUCAACCUCGAGACGCCGAUGGAAACCCUCCAGCUAGAGUCCGGAAGAGGAGAGUGGAAUUCCUGGUGUAGCGGUGAAAUGCGCAGAUAUCAGGAAGAACACCCGUGGCUAAGGCGGCUCACUGGCCCGAUACUGACGCUGAGGUGCGAAAGCGUGGGGAGCAAACAGG
rnacentral:rRNA from 1 species